ACACACACAAAAAAAAGAUGGCCAUGCAAUGACAGAGGCAGAAAUUGGAGUGAUGUAGCUACAAGGCCAGGGAUGCCACGGAUUGCCAGCAACCACUAGAAGCUCAGAAAAGGCAGAAGAAUAUCCUUCUCUAGAGCCUCCAGAAGGAAUAUAGCCCUGAGGACUCCUUGGUUUUGCACUUCUAGCCUUCAUAACUGAAAUUGAACUUCAUACUCCAGUGGAGUUACCAAACUGCAUUUCCCCAUUAUAGCAGCAUAAGCCAGGAAGUGGAGAAAAGAGAAGAACGUCAUUAAGUGGGAAAGAAUCAGGGCACAGCUUCCAACAGGGAUUGAUUGGACACAUGAGAGUCACAGAUCACACCCACGGUGCCCUCUACCCUCUCUGAAUCUUCAAAGGUCUCUUCUUAGUUCUCUUCAACUUUUCCUCUUGGACAUAGGCACUUUCUGAAAGCCAGAAGUUCAGGAUCCAUGUUUCUUCUGAGAGCUGGGAGAGAAGGAUCUAUGCCAGACCUCGGUCUUCAGCUCAUAAGUGAGCUUGUCCCUGUGUCUCCACAACAUCUUCCCUCUGUGCAUUUCUGUAUCCAAAUCUCUCAUAUGAACACUAGCUGUAUUGGAUUAGAGGAGGCCUCAUUUUAACUUACACACCUCUAUAAAGAUCCUAUCUCCAAUUAAGGUGACAUUCUGAGAUACUGAGAGUUAGGACUACAACAUAUAAGUUUCUGAAGAGACAGAAUUUAGUCCAUAACAAAAGUUGUACGAUUACAUUGUAUUGAGAUAUGAUUAUGCAAUUAAAACUUGCAAAAUUAAUACUACCUUAUCAUAAUUAUGAGGAAGAGGCUAAGGUCAACCUUCAGGUCAAAGACCCAAGAAAGAAGUGGAUCUAUAGACUAGAAUCAAGAUUGGUCCCAGCUAGGGAAGAAAGAGGAACUGACCUGUCUUGCUCAAAAAUCUUAAGAAGAAAAGAUGGUAGAACUGAGAUCCUGGAUGACCAUCACAUGGAGGGAGACCAGGAGCUAGGAAAAAAUAUAUCUACAUACCUGUAGCCGGUGCCAACUGAACCUAGAACAGAGCAAUAUAUCGUGAACCAAAUUAUCGGCCACGCUUAAUAUCUUAAAAAAUUACUCUCCAGUUCAAAAUCUCUCAAAUGGUUAGUAGCCUAUGGCUUCUUCUCAGAGAUGGACAGUGAACAUUUAUAAUUU